UGCUAUCUGCUCCUUGUAUAUACAGCCGACGCUCUUGUCCUCUGUUCGUCCUUCCGCCUCGCUCCAGCCGUCGUCUCUCGUUCUCUGUUCCUCGUUCCGCGUCAACUCCACCCGCCGCUGCCGUUGCUCCCGUCGCUCGCCAUCAAUCGCCAUCGCCAUCGCUUUGCUUGUUGCUUGCUUGCCGCGUCGCCGCUGUACUUCCUGAUGGCUCCUCUCGCUGCUGCUAUUGCGUUUGGUUAGGGGUGCCUGUGGCUGCUUUGUCGUGCGUCCGUGCGGCUGUUUGUUCCUUCUUUCCGAGAAAUCGCACUAAUCGGUUCGUCGUCAGAUUUGCCUUGCUGUUUCAUGUGCUCAAAGGAUCAUCUUUCUCUUCAGGUUCGAUUUUCAGGGAUUUUCCUUGCCGCUUCAGUUUAUUGUGCUUUUUCUUGUAUGAGAUUUGAAGCAAGUUCAUCCUUCUUCUUCUUCUUAGAUAUUCUGAUGAGAAUUGUUAUGUGUACAAACCUAAAUUUGAGAUAAAUUCUGCUGUGUUUUACGCUUUAAAACGAGAUCGACCUAAGUGGACUUGUUUGUGGCGUUUAAAUUUCAGUUAUGUGCAAAGAAACAGC